GGGUUGUGAGGUUAAGCGACUAAGCGUACACGGUGGAUGCCCUGGCAGUCAGAGGCGAUGAAGGACGUGCUAAUCUGCGAAAAGCGUCGGUAAGGUGAUAUGAACCGUUACAGCCGGCGAUGUCCGAAUGGGGAAACCCAGUGCAAUUCGUUGCACUAUCGUUAACUGAAUACAUAGGUUAACGAGGCGAACCGGGGAACUGAAACAUCUAAGUACCCCGAGGAAAAGAAACCAACCGAGAUUCCCCCAGUAGCGGCGAGCGAACGGGGAGCAGCCCAGAGUCUGAAUCAGCUUGUGUGUUAGUGGAACGGUCUGGAAAGUCCGACGGUACAGGGUGAUAGUCCCGUACACCAAAUGCACAGGCUGUGAACUCGAAGAGUAGGGCGGGACACGUGGUAUCCUGUCUGAAUAUGGGGG
rnacentral:rRNA from 1 species